UACGUAGGGGGCGAGCGUUGUCCGGAAUCAUUGGGCGUAAAGCGCGUGUAGGCGGCUUUGCAAGUCGGGUGUGAAAUCCCUCAGCUUAACUGAGGAAGUGCGCCCGAAACUGCAGAGCUUGAGUACCGGAGAGGGUGGCGGAAUUCCCCAAGUAGAGGUGAAAUUCGUAGAUAUGGGGAGGAACACCGGUGGCGAAGGCGGCCACCUGGACGGAUACUGACGCUGAGACGCGAAAGCGUGGGGAGCAAACAGG
rnacentral:rRNA from 1 species